AGGAACUGGGGACUGUGAUGAGGU
rnacentral:piRNA from 1 species